AAGAAAGGAGUUAAGUUCAUUUGGUCAGAUUCAUGUGAAAAAGCCUUUAAAACAGUCAAAGCUAUGCUGAUAUCUUCACCCAUCCUCAUCUCGCCUGACUUUGAGAAGGGUUUCAUCCUGUAUGUAGACGCUAGUGACACGGGUGCUGGGGCUGUGUUAUGUCAGGCUGAUGCAGCUGGCGUUGAUCAUCCGGUGUGUUAUUUCUCCAAGAAAUUAAUAAGCAUCAGCGAAAUUACUCUACAGUAGAGAAAGAAACUCUUGCUUUGAUAUUAGCUUUGAGGCACUUUGAAAUUUAUUUAUAUCCUACAAAGGAAGCUGUAAAGAUUUAUACAGACCAUAAUCCAUUAACUUUCAUCUCUAAAAUGAGCUGUAAGAAUCAGAGGAUUCUGAGGUGGAGUUUAGAGCUUCAGAAAUACAACCUCAGUGUUAACCACAUCAGAGGAAAAGAAAAUGUACUGGCUGAUGCUUUGUCACGUGGGUAAGCAAAGCAUAUAGAUUGCAAAGUUGUAAAUUGUAAUAGAUGUCUGAUCCUAUAUUACAGAUUUUCUAAUCUAUCUUUGUUUUGCACCAGCUAAGUUCCUCUGUCUCCUAAACCAAUUAUACGUCAGAUCAGGAGGGAGGUAUUACAUGGCUGCCCAUCGACCAUCGACCUGUGCAUGAUCGUCAACUAAUUGCAUGACCUCUGCAUGACCUCACAUCGCUUCGCUCCGACUGCGACGGACUGACGGGACUCGGAAUACGUGGACGAGACAUAAGGGGUUCGGUCGGGUUCGGGUUUCGGUCUAGUCAACUCAGAAUAGGAUUGUAUGGGGGUGAGGGCGAAUGAGGGGUAGAACGACCUUGGACGGACUGGUGGAAAGAGGUGACUAUGGCUGGUCGGUGGUCGGCGGAGCCGGGUUGUGGUUUACUAUAAUUUACGUUAAUAUUUGUAAGUUAACUUUAUUUGACACCCUGUAUUAUGUUAUGUUUAUUUCUAUAUGAAUAUUAUUUUGUGUGUGUUGAAGUGAAUAUAUGUUUGUGGAUGAAGU